GCUUACGGUCACACUACCUUGAGAACGCCAGAUCUCGUCUGAUCUCGGAAGCUAAGCAGGGUCGGGCCUGGUUAGUACUUGGAUGGGAGNGUUACCAGCCUACAUCACAGACGAGGAAAUUUUAAGCA
rnacentral:rRNA from 1 species